ACGGGUGCGUAACGCGUAUGCAACCUACCUUUAACAGGGGGAGUAACACUGAGAAAUUGGUACUAAUACCCAUAAUAUGGGCGCUCCGCAUGGAGAGUCCAUUAAAGAGAGCAAUCUUGGUUACAGACGAGCAUGCGCUCCAUUAGCCAGUUGGCGGGGUAACGGCCCACCAAGGCGACGAUGGAUAGGGGUUCUGAGAGGAAGGUCCCCCACAUUGGAACUGAGACACGGUCCAA
rnacentral:rRNA from 1 species